GGUUAAGUGACUAAGCGUACAGGGCGGAUGCCUUGGCAAUCAGAGGCGAAGAAGGACGUGCUAAUCUGCGAAAAGCUUGGAUGAGUCGAUAAGAGGCGUUUAAUCCAAGAUGUCCGAAUGGGGAAACCCGAUGGAUGAAGAAUCCAUCAUUUCAUUGUGAAUACAUAGCAAUGAAAGGCGAACCGGGAGAACUGAAACAUCUAAGUACCCCGAGGAAAAGAAAUCAACCGAGAUUCUGUGAGUAGCGGCGAGCGAAAGCGGAAGAGCCAGUAAGUUUUAGCUAGUGUAUUAGAGGAAUUGGCUGGGAAGCCAAAUCAAAGAGGGUGAUAAUCCCGUACUCGAAAAUACGAUAGUGGAACUAAGCUUACGAUAAGUAGGGCGGGACACGAGAAAUCCUGUUUGAAGAUGGGGGGACCAUCCUCCAAGGCUAAAUACUCCUGAUUGACCGAUAGUGAACCAGUACUGUGAAGGAAAGGCGAAAAGAACCCCGGUGAGGGGAGUGAAAUAGAACCUGAAACCCUGUACGUACAAGCAGUAGGAGCGAGGGCAACCUUGUGACUGCGUACCUUUUGUAUAAUGGGUCAGCGACUUAUAUUUUGUAGCGAGGUUAACUGAAUAAGGGAGCCGAAGGGAAACCGAGUCUUAACUGGGCGUUGAGUUGCAAGGUAUAGACCCGAAACCCGGUGAUCUAGCCAUGGGCAGGUUGAAGGUUGGGUAACACUAACUGGAGGACCGAACCGACUAAUGUUGAAAAAUUAGCGGAUGACUUGUGGCUGGGGGUGAAAGGCCAAUCAAACCGGGAGAUAGCUGGUUCUCCCCGAAAUCUAUUUAGGUAGAGCCUUGAGCGGACACCUUCGGGGGUAGAGCACUGUUUCGGCUAGGGGUCCAUCCCGGAUUACCAACCCGAUGCAAACUGCGAAUACCGAAGAGUGAUACUCAGGAGACACACGGCGGGUGCUAACGUUCGUCGUGGAGAGGGAAACAACCCAGACCGCCAGCUAAGGUCCCAAAGUCUAUAUUAAGUGGGAAACGAAGUGGGAAGGCUUAGACAGCUAGGAUGUUGGCUUAGAAGCAGCCAUCAUUUAAAGAAAGCGUAAUAGCUCACUAGUCGAGUCGGCCUGCGCGGAAGAUGUAACGGGGCUCAAAUAUAGCACCGAAGCUGCGGCAUCAGAAUUUAUUCUGUUGGGUAGGGGAGCGUUGUGUAAGCGGAAGAAGGUGGCUCGAGAGGGUUGCUGGACGUAUCACAAGUGCGAAUGCUGACAUAAGUAACGAUAAAACGAGUGAAAAACUCGUUCGCCGGAAGACCAAGGGUUCCUGUCCAACGUUAAUCGGGGCAGGGUGAGUCGGCCCCUAAGGCGAGGCUGAAAAGCGUAGUCGAUGGGAAACGGGUUAAUAUUCCCGUACUUGGUAAAGCUGCGAUGUGGGGACGGAGAAGGUUAGGUAAGCGGACUGUUGGAAAUGUCCGUUUAAGUUGGUAGUUGGGAGCGGUAGGCAAAUCCGCUGCUCCAUUCAACAACGAGAGAUGAUGACGAGUUCCUAAGGGAAUGAAGUUACCGAUACCCGGCUUCCAGGAAAAGCCACUAAGCGAAAGGCUUUAUUAAACCGUACUGAAAACCGACACAGGUGGUCAGGUAGAGAAUACUCAGGCGCUUGAGAGAACUCGGGUGAAGGAACUAGGCAAAAUAGCACCGUAACUUCGGGAGAAGGUGCGCUUACAGUAAUUGUAGUCCCUCGCGGAUGAAGGUGAAGUAAGUCGAAGAUACCAGCUGGCUGCAACUGUUUAUUAAAAACACAGCACUCUGCAAACACGAAAGUGGACGUAUAGGGUGUGAUGCCUGCCCGGUGCUGGAAGGUUAAUUGAUGGUGUUAUCGAAAGAGAAGCUCCUGAUCGAAGCCCCAGUAAACGGCGGCCGUAACUAUAACGGUCCUAAGGUAGCGAAAUUCCUUGUCGGGUAAGUUCCGACCUGCACGAAUGGCAUAAUGAUGGCCAGGCUGUCUCCACCCGAGACUCAGUGAAAUUGAAAUCGCCGUGAAGAUGCGGUGUACCCGCGGCUAGACGGAAAGACCCCGUGAACCUUUACUAUAGCUUGACACUGAACAUUGAAUUUUGAUGUGUAGGAUAGGUGGGAGCCUUUGAAGCAGUGACGCCAGUCAUUGUGGAGGCGACCUUGAAAUACCACCCUUUAACGUUUGAUGUUCUAACGAAGUGCCUGAAACGGGUACUCGGACAGUGUCUGGUGGGUAGUUUGACUGGGGCGGUCUCCUCCCAAAGCGUAACGGAGGAGCACGAAGGUUUGCUAAUGACGGUCGGACAUCGUCAGGUUAGUGCAAUGGUAUAAGCAAGCUUAACUGCGAGACGGACAAGUCGAGCAGGUGCGAAAGCAGGUCAUAGUGAUCCGGUGGUUCUGAAUGGAAGGGCCAUCGCUCAACGGAUAAAAGGUACUCCGGGGAUAACAGGCUGAUACCGCCCAAGAGUUCAUAUCGACGGCGGUGUUUGGCACCUCGAUGUCGGCUCAUCACAUCCUGGGGCUGAAGUAGGUCCCAAGGGUAUGGCUGUUCGCCAUUUAAAGUGGUACGCGAGCUGGGUUUAGAACGUCGUGAGACAGUUCGGUCCCUAUCUGCCGUGGGCGUUGGAUGAUUGAUUGGGGCUGCUCCUAGUACGAGAGGACCGGAGUGGACGCAUCACUGGUGUUCCAGUUGUCUCGCCAGAGGCAUUGCUGGGUAGCUAAAUGCGGAAGAGAUAAGUGCUGAAAGCAUCUAAGCACGAAACUUGCCAAGAGAUGAGUCAUCCCUGACUUUAAGUCAGUAAGGGUUGUUUAAGACUAAGACGUAGAUAGGUUGGGUGUGUAAGUGUAGUGAUACAUUGAGCUAACCAGUACUAAUUGCCCGAGAGGCUUAACCAU
rnacentral:rRNA from 1 species